rnacentral:tRNA from 1 species
CUGGUGGUGGUCUGGCUGCGCGACCCGCGUCGGUCGUGGGCGGCACCGCCGUUGGCGGUGGUCGCAUGGUUCCUGACCGCGGUACCGGC